CAGACUCAGGCUUCUCUUGACAAUAUCCUGCCUUUGCCAAAUCCUUGCAUUUCUAGAUUCCAGAAGCUGGGAAAGGAAGGUGGUGGAAAGCAGAACGUACGCAUGCCAUUAGUCACACUCCUCCCGCCACUUGUAACAAGGAAAGGUGUCUCCAGACAUUGCCAGAAGUCCCUUGGAGGGCAAAAGCUUGCCCAGUUGAGAACCAUUGAUAAAAACCACCUAGAAGGAAUUCCUUGUACAACAUUGCAAGCAUCUUCUCCCAUUCUGCCAUCUGGUCUGUGGUCAAAACUCUCCUUUUGAUCAGGUGUCCACCCUUCUUGUCCAUCUAGAGCUGCAGAGAGAUCUCCUGCUCAGUCUCAU